UACGGAGGGUGCAAGCGUUAUCCGGAUUUACUGGGUUUAAAGGGUGCGCAGGCGGAUAUGUAAGUCAGUGGUGAAAUCUCCGGGCUUAACCCGGAAACUGCCGUUGAUACUACAUAUCUUGAAUGCUGUGGAGGUAAGCAGAAUAUGUCAUGUAGCGGUGAAAUGCUUAGAUAUGACAUAGAAUACCUAUUGCGAAGGCAGCUUACUACACAGAUAUUGACGCUCAUGCACGAAAGCGUGGGGAUCAAACAGG
rnacentral:rRNA from 1 species